UUUAGACACGAUCUGGCUCUGUCACCCAGGCUGGAGUGCAAUGGUGCGAUCUUGGCUUGCUGCAAUCUCUGAGUCCCUGGCUCAAGCAAUCCUCCCACCUCAGCCUCCCCAGUGGAUGGGACCACAGGUGCAUGCCACCACACCCAGCUAAUUUUUUUUUUUUUUUUCUGUAGAGAUGGGGUUUUCCUGUGUUGCCUAGGCUGGUCUUGAACUCCUGGGCUCAAGCAUUCCACCCCUCUUGGCCUCCCAAAGUGCUGGGAUUACAGACUUGAGUCACUGAGCCCAGCCUGCUUUAUUUUUCUUCACAGUACUUGGAACUUUCUAUUGUACUAAGUACACAUGUAUUUUCUUUCUUUUUUGUCUUCCCUAGAAUAGGAGCUUAACGUGGGCAGGUAUUUUUGUUGAUCUCAUUUAUCACUCUAUUCCCAGUCCCUGGAACAUGUCUGGCACAUGAAUGAUGUGUUCUAAAUAAAUAAUUUUAACAAAUAAAUAAACUAUCCUACAAGAGAAGGCUAAUAUUUGGAACUCACUUAUCAACAGAACCAAAAAGCCAAAGACCUUUAGCCUGUCCCUACGUCUGAAUGCACCCAACUCCAGAGGAGCCAGCAGAGAAAAAACAGGAACAAAAGUGGGGAAGGGAGCAGGUGGUGCCCACCCCCCAAACUAAAGACCCCUGAAACUGAGGUUGAACUUGAGUUGGAGAAGGGAGUCAUCUAGGAACUGGGUGUGAGAUUAAAGUUUAGAUUUGCCUGGCCUGAAUUUUGUAACACCCAACCCAAGUUAUUCCAUUAACUUUUGUUUUUAUUUUUUGAGACAAAGUCUUGCUCUGUCACCCAGGCUGGAGUGCAGUGGUGUGAUCUCAGCUCACUGCAACCUCUUCCUCCCAGGUUCAAGCAAUCCUCCUGCCUCAGCCUCCUGAGCAGCUGGGAUUAUAGGGGCCCAUCACCAGGUCCAGCUAAUUUUUGUAUUUUCAGUAGAGAUGGGGUUUCACCAUGUUGGCCAAGCUGGUCUUGAAUGCCUGACCUCAAGUGAUCUGCCCACCUCAGUCUUCCAAAGUGCUGGGAUCACAGACAUGAGCCACUGUAUCCAGCCAUAUUGCAUUCAUUAUUAACAAGUCUAUUAUUAUAAAUCAAAGUGACCAAAAUCCUAGGGAAACUUCCCCAGAUGUCAUCAAGCAGCAGAGACCAGAGAACUAUCAGCAGGAUGGGGACUAGGGUGAGGCAGGGGAGAGAGGCGCGCAUCUCUGGAUUGUCAGGGUGCAGCUAGUGAGGCAUAAAAUUUAAGGGGGCACCAAAAAAUUCAUUGAUCAAAAUAAAUAUUUGAAUGCAGAUUUUUUUUUAAAAAAAUCAAAUUUAAUGCAAAAAUAAUCCCUAAUGGGAAAAGUUAUCAACAUUUCAACUAAGACGCAGUCCAACCCUGCAUUUGAAUGACUUGGCCUCACUCGCUCACCCUAACCCACCUCUGCCUCACAGAAGCUGCUGGAAGGCAGCAGCUGAAGAAAAAUGAAGUCAUUUCCUGCUCAUAUCCAGUUCAGAUGUUCCAUAAACUAGCUACACGUGAGACCGUGAUGAUCUACCUGUGCCAACCAGGACCACAAUCUACCAUCAGGACCACAAUAACCAGGUCCAUGUUGACUGGCCCUAGCUGAGCCCAGACACUUUGACUUAGAGGCUCAGGCCAGGAUUGCUUCUCCCAUUGACAUCAAGCACUCGUUAAGAGAAAAUAGACAAGGCCGAGUGCAGUGGCUCAUGCCUGUAAUCCCAGCACUUUGGUGGAAUCCCAGCAGAGGCAGGUGGAUCACCUGAGAUCAGGAGUUUGAGACCAGCCUGGCCAACAUGGUGAAACCCCAUCUCUACUAAAAUUACAAAAAUCAGCUGGGCGUGGUGGCACACAGCUGAGGCACAAGAAUUAAUUCAACCCAGAAGGUAGAGGUUGCAGUGAGCCAAUAACAAGCCACUGC
ensembl:lncRNA